rnacentral:lncRNA from 1 species
GUAGUGCUAUUAGUUAGCUCGCUGGUUCUGCCUGCAAAUGGCAACCAACGCACAAACUCACAAGCAGUGAGAGAUUUUAGACUGCUGCCACUGCCAGGGUACACAUACAUUGUGCAUGCAAUAAUAAUAACUACUACAGUAGUACAGUACCAACUGAUUAACUAAGUGGCAAAAAAAAGACUAAUCAACAGCAAGAGAUUACGCAUCAAUCAUUUUCAUAGCUAGGCUGCUGCUGCUGUGCGUGCAUGCGCCCACGAGAAAACACAGCAUGUGGGGUGAUCAGUGCCUCAGUGGUAUGUAUGUGUGCCACUGCCACUGUGCGUACGUACACAUGCACAGGCGUACGCCCCCCCACAAGGCACAUGGACGCGUGUAUGUACGCGAUUAAUCAACGAGGGCGACCUGCAGCUGGUAUGAUCGUGCAUGUGUUUAACGCACGCACGCACAGACGCCGGGAAAUUGAUUCACAUCUCCACUUGGCCGCAGGACGUACGUACGCACGUAGCUUCACCCCACCCACCUGCAAACCAAAGAGAAGAGUUGGUUAACUACCCAGGAAAAAAGAGGAUUGUCAGGAGUACUGAGUUGAUGGUAGAGUGCAGUGCAGGCAACACGUACGUACAAACAGGUCGAUCGGCAGGAAUUAAUCAGGACAUGAUGAGAC